CAGGUGCAUGCCUCUAGCAUGAA
rnacentral:rRNA from 8 species